rnacentral:rRNA from 1 species
UACGGGGGGAGCAAGCGUUGUUCGGAUUUACUGGGCGUAAAGGGCGCGUAGGCGGCCAGUGCAGUCAGUUGUGAAAUCUCCGAGCUUAACUCGGAAAGGUCAACUGAUACUGCUCGGCUAGAGUGCGGAAGGGGCAACUGGAAUUCUCGGUGUAGCGGUGAAAUGCGUAGAUAUCGAGAGGAACACCUGCGGCGAAGGCGGGUUGCUGGGCCGACACUGACGCUGAAGCGCGAAAGCUAGGGGAGCGAACGGG